rnacentral:rRNA from 1 species
GAGGAAUAUUGGUUAAUGGACGAGAGUCUGAACCAGCCAAGUAGCGUGAAGGAUGACUGCCCUAUGGGUUGUAAACUUCUUUUAUACGGGAAUAAAGUGAGGCACGUGUGCCUUUUUGUAUGUACCGUAUGAAUAAGGAUCGGCUAACUCCGUGCCAGCAGUCGCGGUAAUACGGAGGAUCCGAGCGUUAUCCGGAUUUAUUGGGUUUAAAGGGAGCGUAGGCGGACGCUUAAGUUAGUUGUGAAAGUUUGCGGCUCAACCGUAAAAUUGCAGUUGAUACUAGGUGUCUUGAGUACAGUAGAGGCAGGCGGAAUUCGUGGUGUAGCGGUGAAAUGCUUAGAUAUCACGAAGAACUCCGAUUGCGAAGGCAGCCUGCUGGACUGUAACUGACGCUGAUGCUCGAAAGUGUGGGUAUCAAAC